UUUCCGGUUGAUCCCGCCGGACCUGACUGCUAUCGGAUUGAUACUAAGCCAUGCGAGUCUUUGCAGUAAUGCAAGGCAUACGGCUCAGUAACACGUAGUCAACUUACCCUAUGGACGAGGAUAAUCUCGGGAAACUGAGCAUAAUACUCGAUAGAUCAUAAUGCCUGGAAUGGUUUAUGGUUGAAAUGAUUCGUCGCCAUAGGAUGGGACUGCGGCCUAUCAGCUUGUUGGUGAGGUAAUGGCCCACCAAGGCGAUUACAGGUACGGGCUCUGAGAGGAGAAGCCCGGAGAUGGGUACUGAGACAAGGACCCAGGCCCUAUGGGGCGCAGCAGGCGAGAAAACUUUGCAAUGUGCGAAAGCACGACAAGGUUAAUCCGAGUGAUUUCUGCUAAAGAAAUCUUUUGCAAGUCAUAAAACCACUAGUGAAUAAGGGGUGGGCAAGUUCUGGUGUCAGCCGCCGCGGUAAAACCAGCACCUCAAGUGGUCAGGAGGAUUAUUGGGCCUAAAGCAUCCGUAGCCGGCUCUGUAAGUUUUCGGUUAAAUCCAUGUGCUCAACGCAUGGGCUGCCGAAAAUACUGCAUAGCUAGGGAGUGGGAGAGGUAGACGGUACUCGGUAGGAAGGGGUAAAAUCCUUUGAUCUAUCGAUGACCACCUGUGGCGAAGGCGGUCUACCAGAACACGUUCGACGGUGAGGGAUGAAAGCUGGGGGAGCAAACCGGAUUAGAUACCCGGGUAGUCCCAGCUGUAAACGAUGCAGACUCGAUGAUGCAUUGGCAUAUAGCCAGUGCAGUGUCGCAGGGAAGCCGUUAAGUCUGCCGCCUGGGAAGUACGUACGCAAGUAUGAAACUUAAAGGAAUUGGCGGGGGAGCACCACAAGGGGUGAAGCCUGCGGUUCAAUUGGAGUCAACGCCGGA
rnacentral:rRNA from 1 species